GAUGAACGCUAGCUACAGGCUUAACACAUGCAAGUCGAGGGGAAACGACAUCGAAAGCUUGCUUUUGAUGGGCGUCGACCGGCGCACGGGUGAGUAACGCGUAUCCAACCUGCCCAUCACUUGAGAAUAACCUUGCGAAAGUAAGACUAAUACCCAAUGAUAUCCCACGAAGGCAUCGGAAUGGGAUUAAAGAUUUAUCGGUGAUGGAUGGGGAUGCGUCUGAUUAGCUUGUUGGCGGGGUAACGGCCCACCAAGGCAACGAUCAGUAGGGGUUCUGAGAGGAAGGUCCCCCACAUUGGAACUGAGACACGGUCCAAACUCCUACGGGAGGCAGCAGUGAGGAAUAUUGGUCAAUGGGCGAGAGCCUGAACCAGCCAAGUAGCGUGCAGGAAGACGGCCCUAUGGGUUGUAAACUGCUUUUAUAAGGGAAUAAAGUGGGUCACGUGUGACUUUUUGCAUGUACCUUAUGAAUAAGGACCGGCUAAUUCCGUG
rnacentral:rRNA from 1 species